UUUCUUUAGUUUCUUAUCAAAAAUUUUUUAUUUACUUUCAAGUACAUUGUGGUUUUAAAAUUUGAUCUCUACCUUGCUGUAGGCGUAAUGGUAGAAUUUUCAGGUUUCCCCUGGUCAAGAGAAGUUUAUUGGGAAUUAGUUCUUCGAUAAGUUUUCUCCAUAUUCCCUAUUCUCUCAAAUUUUGCGUUGUUAUUCUUAUUUAUCUUUUAUGUUUUCGUGUUAUAUGUCUACUAUAUGUGUGUUCUAGAAAAUUAAUAUUGAAUCCAAUAAUUUCUUUGUUUCUUUUUUAUCUUGAUGUUGCGUUGUCUAUUCCUCAUUUGUUUAGUUUCGUAUCAGCAAAAUUUCAACCAUAUUAAGCCUUAAGAGUUAAUUUUCUAAUUCUCGUUUUUACAUUUGAUCUCUAGUUUUUACAUUUGAUAUCUACUCUUUUCUCUAUCUUGCUUUAA